rnacentral:rRNA from 1 species
UACGAAGGGGGCUAGCGUUGCUCGGAAUCACUGGGCGUAAAGGGUGCGUAGGCGGGUCUUUAAGUCAGGGGUGAAAUCCUGGAGCUCAACUCCAGAACUGCCUUUGAUACUGAAGAUCUUGAGUUCGGGAGAGGUGAGUGGAACUGCGAGUGUAGAGGUGAAAUUCGUAGAUAUUCGCAAGAACACCAGUGGCGAAGGCGGCCCACUGGCCCGAUACUGACGCUGAUGCACGAAAGCGUGGGGAGCAAACAGG